ACGCUAGCGGCAGGCUUCAUACAUGCAAGUCGAGGGGCAGCAUAAAUUACUUGUAAUUUGAUGGCGACCGGCGAACGGGUGCGUAACGCGUAUGCAACUUACCUUUUACUAGAGAAUAGCCAAGAGAAAUUUUGAUUAAUGCUCUAUGUUCUUAUUUACUCGCAUGAGUAAAUAAGCAAAGCUCCGGCGGUAAAAGAUGGGCAUGCGUCCUAUUAGCUUGUAGGUGAGGUAAUGGCUCACCUAAGCUCCGAUAGGUAGGGGUCCUGAGAGGGAGAUCCCCCACACUGGUACUGAGACACGGACCAGACUUCUACGGAAGGCAGCAGUAAGGAAUAUUGGACAAUGGAGGCAACUCUGAUCCAGCCAUGCCGCGUGAAGGAAGACGGCC
rnacentral:rRNA from 1 species